rnacentral:rRNA from 1 species
UACAGAGGUCUCAAGCGUUGUUCGGAUUCAUUGGGCGUAAAGGGCGUGUAGGUGGCGCGCUAAGUCGGGUGUGAAAUUUCGGAGCUUAACUCCGAAACUGCAUUCGAUACUGGCGUGCUUGAGGACUGGAGAGGAGACUGGAAUUUACGGUGUAGCAGUGAAAUGCGUAGAUAUCAGGAGGAACACCGGUGGCGAAGGCGCACAUCUGGCCCGAUACUGACGCUGAGGCGCGAAAGCGAGGGGAGCAAACGGG